GGAGGUGUGUGUCAGUGAUGGCACAGCUGAACAUUGAUCGCUUUAGUUCAGUAGGCUGAUCUGCUCAGUAACGUGCGGUCACGUGGUCGAUCCAGCAACCAAUGGACUCUGACGAUGCCCUAGUCGCACGUCAGUCAUCCUCUGGUUUCUUGAACGUCCGCCAUUUCCAAAUUUGGGGGGUUACGGAUGGGUUUCAUUUAGAACACCUCCAAUAAUCGGCACUGCAGUUACGUAGUUCGCCAUUUUUUCA
rnacentral:snRNA from 15 species